CAGUCGUUCAAGAUGGGACUGCGGCCGAUCAGGUAGUUGCGGGUAAUGGCCCACCAAGCCUAUAACCCGGUGCGGGCUUUGAGAGGAGGAGCCCGGAGAUGGACACUGAGACAAGGGUCCAGGCCCUACGGGGCGCAGCAGGCGCGAAACCUUCACAAUGCGCGAAAGCGCGAUGAGGCUAUACCGAGUGUCAUCCGCUGAGGGUGACUUUUCCUCGAUCUAAAACAUCGAGGGAAUAAGGGGAGGGCAAGCCUGGUGUCAGCCGCCGCGGUAAUACCAGCUCCCCGAGUGGUCGGGACGAUUAUUGGGCCUAAAGCAUCCGUAGCCGGCUUCACAGGUCUCUUGUUAAAUCCAACGGCUCAACCGUUGGACUGCAGGGGAUACCAUGGAGCUAGGGGGCGGGAGAGGCGGACGGUACUCCAUGGGUAGGGGUAAAAUCCUUUGAUCCAUGGAAGACCACCAGUGGCGAAGGCGGUCCGCUAGAACGCGCCCGACGGUGAGGGAUGAAAGCUGGGGGAGCGAACCGGAUUAGAUACCCGGGUAGUCCCAGCCGUAAACGAUGCAGGCUAGGUGAUAGAGAGGCUAUACGCCUUUCUAGUGCCGCAGGGAAGCCGAUAAGCCUGCCGCCUGGGGAGUACGGCCGCAAGACUGAAACUUAAAGGAAUUGGCGGGGGAGCACCACAAGGGGUGAAGCCUGCGGUUCAAUUGGAGUCAACGCCGGAAACCUUACCAAGGGUGACAGCAGGAUGAAGGUCACUCUAAAGAAAUUACCAGACGAGCUGAGAGGAGGUGCAUGGCCGUCGCCAGCUCGUGCCGUGAGGCGUCCUGUUAAGUCAGGAAACGAGCGAGACCCCCACUGCAAGUUGCUAUCAUUACCCGAAAGGGUGAUGGGGCUAAUUUGCAGGACCGCCAUCGCUAAGAUGGAGGAAGGAGGGGGCCACGGCAGGUCAGUAUGCCCCGAAACCCUUGGGCCACACGCGGGCUGCAAUGAUAGGGACAACGGGCCCCGACCUCGAAAGAGGAAGGAAAUCCUCAAACCCUAUCCCAGUUAUGACUGAGGGCUGCAACCCGCCCUCACGAAUCUGGAAUCCCUAGUAACCGCACGUCACUACCGCGCGGUGAAUACGUCCCUGCUCCUU
rnacentral:rRNA from 1 species